UGAGCUGGCAGAUAGUUUUGCUAAGAAUGCAGCAAAAAAGUCUAUUGUUGAUUUAAAUAUUAAAAUGAGUAAAAAUGAGGUUAAAAAUAUUAGUAAAGUGUAUAUUAAGAAUAAAUGGCAGGAACAGUGGGAUAAAGGAAGCAAUGCCAGAUUUUAUUAUAGCAUCCAAAGAAAAGUUGGAGAAUUUAGGAAAUGUAGCAGGAAUAAAAAAGAAGAAGAUAUUAUAUCUAGAUUAAGGUUUGGACAUACAGGUUUAAACAGUACUCUUAAAAUAAUUAAUAAACAUGAUACAGGUUUCUGUAGUUAUUGUGGGAAAUUAGAAACAAUACAACAUUUUUUUUAGAAUGUAGUAAGUAUGUUCGAAAAAGGAAGGAGUUAAUUAGAAAUUUAAAUAGGAAUAAAAAUAAGUGAGAUAUUAGAAGUUUGCUUCAAAGAUCAUCGGGGGAUGUAGUUUUUAAUAGUAUUUUUAAUUUUCUAAGGAGAACAGGUAUUAUGGGAAGAUUAUAGUGGUUUUACAUCUGAUCCAUACUCCAGUCUAGAAGGUUUCGGUAAUGCACCUAAAAGUUGUUUGCCAACCGCCAUUAAAAAAAAAAAAAACAAGAAGAAGAAGAAGAAGAAGUUUCUCCCUUAAGCUGCCACACCCUGCUGAGAAGCCAAACCAGGAAGAGAACAGAUGGCCAGUCCCCCUGCAUCUCAAGAAGACAUCAGAGCCAGGUCGUCUGUUUGAGUAUGGGUGAGUCUCCUCCUGCAAGUUCUGUUAUGUUUAGCUUUUUGAAUUUCUACCACCUUGUCUCCAAAAACCUGUGCCGUUCUGUCUGUUCCUGCCUGGCCUGCCCCGUGAGUCUGUCUGUUUCUGUGCCGUCUUUUGGGUUAACGGUUCCUUUUGGUUUUUGUCCCUGUUUCACUUUUUGUUAAUAAAAGAAGAUUCUACACUGAACCUCUGCUGGUCUGGUUGUGUUCUGGGUCUCCUGCUCCGAUCUUUACAGUAUAAUGCAUUUAUCAACAGAAACCUAAUCUGUUUUAUAAAACUAA